rnacentral:antisense_RNA from 1 species
GUAGGAGCGAACUUGCUCGCGAUGAGGUCGUCUCAGUCGGCAUCGAUGCUGGCUGAUAUUGCGCAAUCGCGAGCAAGCUCGCUCCUGC